UUUGAUUAAUUCGACUAUCCGACUUUUCAAAAUUUUGAUUUUACCACUCAACUUAUCAAUCUGUUUGAUAUAUUUAAGUGAUUUGAUGGUUCUUUGAAUAUACAAUUUAAGCUGAUUGCUUACUUUAAUGAAUUUUAUGUUUACAUGGAUUGUAUAAAAUAUACUGACUAAACUCAUAAAGAUAAAUGACAUGUUUAAAUUUCAAAGUUAAAAAGUUAUUAAUUGAUUCAAAUCAAAUAAGUUAAAAGAUAAGGUAGUAAAGUCAAAAUUUUUAAAGAUUAGGCAGUGAUAUUAAAAUAAAUGAUAACUGAGAUAAGUUUUUUUUUUUUUUUUUUUUUUUUUUUUGAGAAAUAGGUAGCAUGCUACCCGCUUCGUUUAUUUCAUUAAGAAAUAAACUUAGCUGGAAAUGUGAAUCAACUAGGAUUCGAACUUGGGACCUCGGGUACCAACCAUCAAGCCCUUUGCCACUUGCUCUAAGGAUGGUCGGUCUAAGAUAAGUUUUAUA
rnacentral:lncRNA from 1 species